GAUAACCACUCCCUCCAUCAUUGUCAUCAUCAUCGUCAUCGUCAUCAUCGGUGUUGCCUUCAUCAUCACCACCACUAGGCUCAGGUCGGAGAACUUUUGUCUUCCUCUUGCCAAGAUGUGUAUCACCAACAUUCUCACCUGCCCAUUGCUCUAAAUUUUCAUUGUCCUCUGCCAAAGAAGUGAACAUUGGAUUAGGAAGGGGAACAUCACUAAUAUCAGAGUCCUCAUCCAAUGUUGGAGGGGCAUUGGAUCUGCCGUGCUCCAUCCAAUCUUGAAUAGCACUUCGUUGGUGAUAGAAUGAAAGAUCCAUCAUUCUACUCACAGGAUCAAAGUCACUAGGCUCAACUGUGCUUCCUGCUCGCUGGAUACGAAGUCGAAGGUUGUAGUUCGCAAAAACCAACUGAUGCAACUUCUUGUGUCCCAA